UGCUAUUCUCUAUCAAGGCGUCUGCAGGAACGUGAGAGAAUUGGUGAACUGGGAUGUCCUGAGGUCUGGGGAUAUUCUCCAAGAGUCAGAGAACCUGACUCAGACGAGCACACUCCUGUAGAAGAGGACGUGAAGAACAGCAGCUCUGAUUCAAGUUCACAGG